UACGUAGGGUGCAAGCGUUGUUCGGAAUCAUUGGGCGUAAAGCGCGUGUAGGCUGUCCGUUAAGUCGGGUGUGAAAUCCCUGGGCUCAACCCAGGAAGUGCAUUCGAAACUGGCGGGCUAGAAGAUGGUAGAGGAAGGUGGAAUUCCAAGUGUAGAGGUGAAAUUCGUAGAUAUUUGGAGGAAUACCGGUGGCGAAGGCGGCCUUCUGGACCAUUCUUGACGCUGAGACGCGAAAGCGUGGGUAGCAAACAGG
rnacentral:rRNA from 1 species